CCUACGGGUGGCAGCAGUAGGGAAUCUUCCACAAUGGACGAAAGUCUGAUGGAGCAACGCCGCGUGAGUGAAGAAGGGUUUAGGCUCGUAAAGCUCUGUUGGUAGUGAAGAAAGAUAGAGGCAGUAACUGGCCCUUAUUUGACGGUACGUAUUUCGAAAGUCACGGCUAACUCCGUGCCAGCAGCCGCGGUGAUACGUAGGUGGCAAGCGUGGACUGGUUUUAUUGGGCGUAAAGCGAGUGCAGGCGGUUCGAUAAGUCUGAUGGGAAAGCCUUGGGCUCAACCGGAGAAUUGCCUCCGAUACUGUUGAACUUGAGUGCAGAAGAGGAGAGUGGAACGCCAGGUGUAGCGGUGGAAUGCGUAGAUAUAUGGAAGAACACCGAUUGCGAAGGCGGCUCUCUGGUCUGCAACUGACGCUGAGGCUCGAAAGCAUGGGUAGCGAACAGGAUUAGAUACCCCUGUAGUC
rnacentral:rRNA from 1 species